rnacentral:tRNA from 1 species
GCGUCUAUAGCUCAAAUGGAUAGAGCGUCAGUUUCCGGAACUGAAAAUACGGGUUCAAUUCCUGUUAGGCGCU